AGUCGAGCGAGCGGAACUACAGAUUUACUUCGGUAAUGACGUUAGGAAAGCGAGCGGCGGAUGGGUGAGUAACACGUGGGGAACCUGCCCCAUAGUCUGGGAUACCACUUGGAAACAGGUGCUAAUACCGGAUAAGAAAGCAGAUCGCAUGAUCAGCUUUUAAAAGGCGGCGUAAGCUGUCGCUAUGGGAUGGCCCCGCGGUGCAUUAGCUAGUUGGUAAGGUAAAGGCUUACCAAGGCGAUGAUGCAUAGCCGAGUUGAGAGACUGAUCGGCCACAUUGGGACUGAGACACGGCCCAAACUCCUACGGGAGGCAGCAGUAGGGAAUCUUCCACAAUGGACGCAAGUCUGAUGGAGCAACGCCGCGUGAGUGAAGAAGGUUUUCGGAUCGUAAAGCUCUGUUGUUGGUGAAGAAGGAUAGAGGUAGUAACUGGCCUUUAUUUGACGGUAAUCAACCAGAAAGUCACGGCUAACUACGUGCCAGCAGCCGCGGUAAUACGUAGGUGGCAAGCGUUGUCCGGAUUUAUUGGGCGUAAAGCGAGCGCAGGCGGAAGAAUAAGUCUGAUGUGAAAGCCCUCGGCUUAACCGAGGAACUGCAUCGGAAACUGUUUUUCUUGAGUGCAGAAGAGGAGAGUGGAACUCCAUGUGUAGCGGUGGAAUGCGUAGAUAUAUGGAAGAACACCAGUGGCGAAGGCGGCUCUCUGGUCUGCAACUGACGCUGAGGCUCGAAAGCAUGGGUAGUGAACAGGAUUAGAUACCCUGGUAGUCCAUGCCGUAAACGAUGAGUGCUAAGUGUUGGGAGGUUUCCGCCUCUCAGUGCUGCAGCUAACGCAUUAAGCACUCCGCCUGGGGAGUACGA
rnacentral:rRNA from 1 species